GUCUUUUUAGUACAACCAGUAUAAAUGACUUCCAAUUAUUUGACCUUAGUUAAAAUCUAAGAAAAGACA
rnacentral:tRNA from 1 species